rnacentral:lncRNA from 1 species
CUUGCAUCAGCAAAUGCCUUUGAUUAGCCUGGCCAGCAGAAAUAACCUACUGAGCCUUGAGUAGACGUGGCAGACAGAAAUCUAAACAUCACCCAAAGCAGUGAAGUCCCAGGCAUUAAUCUUCAACAAAUAUUUAUUGAAAUCUGGCAGUCCAGACAUGCUUAUUCCAGGAGAAGCUGACAAGUAAAAGAGGGAGAAAGAGAGACAGGCAUGCGACCAAGCACAGUUUAUUUUCACAAGCUGCAUGCUAGCGAACAAAGACCUAGGAGAGCACAUCAAAAAAGGCAAUAUGUUCUGGCUGGGGGCUUGGAGCAGUCUGGAAGAACUCACAGAAGUGAUGACAUUCAAAGAAGGCCUGAGGAAGUAAAGAAAUUCACCGGGCAGAGAAAGAAGGGAAGGACAUUUUACAUCAGAGUGGGAACAGCACGAGCAUAUCAUGGCAGCGAAGAGCAUAUGGCACUUUUAUGAUAGAACGUAAGAUGCAGAGGUGGGAAGGUGGCAGAGGACAUUCAAAAGUGACGUUGCAGUCAUAUUCUGAGGGAUCUGACAGAUGAGCUGUUAAGAAAUAUGGACUCUGUUCUAUCAGUAUUAUGAAAUCAUUGAAUCAUUCAUUCAUUGAAAUGGUAUUUUCGGAGGACUUACUAUGUGCUAAGUACUGUGUCAGCCUCUGAAGAUUAAAAUAAAAAGGAAGGCCCUCCAGGGACUCACAGUCUGGUAGGGAGAAAGGCAGGCAAACAGUCACAGUACGGGGGCCAGAGUGUUCAUGAACGCAGUCUCAGGUCUGAAGGAGAGCUCUGUGCUAGAAUAAAACAAAAUCACCCAGUAGAUCAGAAUCUACUCACGAAUGCUCCACGUGGCUAAUGCUGCUUGCUGGUUUCCGUUGCUCUCGUCAGCUUUGGACCCUCCCCCUGUACUGUUGGCGAGAGUUCUUGGGGGGUUUCGGGGACAUUGUAGCUGGCAGUAGUGUUCAUGCCUCUACUUUACUGGCAGUAACAAUUAGAAUUGGUCCAGGCUGUACAAAAGAGAAAUCCACAAAUACCAAUUGCAUGAGCAUCAUUUUCUCAUGAAACUUUUCUCGCAUCACAGAAGAUGAGUUAGGCAGACAGGGCUGGGAAGGGAGGCUCGUAGGUUCAUUAGCAACCCAGAUUUUGUCUAUCUGCAACUUUAGCUUGUCAUUUCUAUCCUCAAGGGCAUCAUAAGCUUUUAAAGCUCCAGCCAUUCUACCUGCCAUCCAAGCAGUGAGAAGAGGAGAGAGAGAGGAAGACAAAUAGGAGAAGAGCUUUCUAUACAGCAUUCCUGGAUGUCUCGUCCAACAUUUGUUGGAUGUUAUUGGAUGUUCCAUCAUACUUGUGGGCCAGGACUUAGUUAAAUGGCUACACCUUGCUACAAGGAAGUCUGGGAAAUACAGUCUUUCAGCUGGAUACAUCCCCCUGGCCUGAAUAAAAGCUGGGUUCUCUUACAAAGCACAAAAAGGGGAUUGAAUAUUGGUUAGGCACCUGUCAAUCUUUCAUAUCAGCCCACGUGAGAUAGCCAGGGUUUGGUGAAAUAAAAUGCUGUUUCUCCUCAAAACACUUCUCUCUUCCUGAUUGGGGAGGGACCCUGUUCUCUGCAGAGAAAUUCUUUCUCAUGACAGGGCCAACAUGUCUGCCAAAAGACAGCAAUAGGACUUCCCAAUCAUUCUAUAUAUUUAAGGGAGACUUUUUAAAAACUACAAUACGGUUGAACUCAUGUGAUUUUUUUUUUUGCCAUGAAGUUUCUUGUUAAGCAUUGAACAUUUAAAAGUAAAUUUUGACUAAUGUGAAAUAAAAGAAUGUUACUUGAAGCAACAAAAAAUGCUAAGUAUCAUUAGUCAUUAGGAAAUGCAAACUUUAAUGAGAUACCAUUAUAUACCUACUGAACUGGCUACAAUGAAAAAUACUGACUCUGGUAUUUUAAAAGAUUGUUUAUUAACAGUUGUCCAGGGGAGCAAUUGGAACCCAUGUCAUUGCUGGUGGAGAGACGAAAUUGUACAGCCAUUUUGGAAACCUGACUGGUGGUUUUAAAAGAUUAAACUCAUUCUUACCAUAUAACUCCAAAAUUCUGCUUCUAGGCAUUUAGUUCUUUCCACACAAAGUCUUGAACACCAGUGUCCAUAGCAGCCUCAAACUAGAAGAACAGGUGUGUCAGCAGGUGAAUGUGCAUCAACAGGAUAGCUGAGAAGUCCGUAUCAUUUUCAAUGCUACCAAUGGAUGACUGGAAGAAAGGAAAGAAUUGGCAGUUUGGACUUCACGCUAGGGGCUCAGGAAAGAAGACAAGAAUAUUUAUGAAAGGAAACAGAUCCUACCCAAUGAUCUCUCAACAACCUUUAUUACAUUAAGAUAUCCUUGAUGAAAGAGCCAAGUUGACAACUCCGAGACAUUUAGGAAAAAAUGUGAUCAGAUUUGAGACUUACCGCAAGAGGCUUCCCAUGCAAGAUGUAGAGUGAGCCCCAGGUCUCUCUGAAAAUUACCAAAAAGAUAUUUUGAAAAGUAUACAACCGUACAUGUGCCGUUAGUAGCCCAGAAACAUUAAGGAAUACCUAGAAGAUAGAAGUGGAUGGAUAAAUUUAAUGCAAAAAGAAGAGGAAACUGUAGCUAAAGUUUCUGUAGUUAAAGAAAUAACACUACCAAGAAGAAGCAAAUCUUUGAGGAAAACUGAGAACAAGUAAUAGAAAGACCAAGGUGAAAAAUCCUCAUUACUAAUUUCAGAGAAAAUAGAAUUUGUUCCAUAAACAGAAUAGAACCUUAAAAAUGGUCACAGUGUCUCAGAGAGACUCUGAUCUAGAGGAUAUCACAGUAAAACAUGUGAGAACAGGUUAUUUGCUUAUUUGUUAAUUCACCAAUUUGACAAAUGUGUAUUAGUGUCUAUCACGUGCCAGGCACCAUUCUAGAUGUCAGGGAUAAGGGAGUAACCAAAACAGAAAAAAAUUUCUGCCUUCUUUAAAAUUAAACAAGGGCAUGAUAUCCACCAAUUAAUCAAUAAGAUGUGGUAUAUCAUCAGUACAUAAAAUAUUAUGGAGAAAAAUAAAGCAGAGAAUGGAGUAAGAGAGUGAACAGUAGGGUUGGAAUCUUAAAUAGAAGGGCCACAAAAGACGUCGCUGAGAUCUGAAUGAAUUGGGGAAGCAAGUCACACACAUAUCUGGAGGAAGAGUAUUCCAAGUCUAAAGGAGAAGUGCAAACGCCCUGGGGUGAGUGUGGUUGAAAUAGAGUGAGGGAGAAGGUGAUGUGUCGAAGACAUGAUAAAAGAAAUAGUGGGGGUCCCUAUCAAAUAAGACUUAGUAGGCCACGGCAAAGACUUCAAAUUUUAUUCUGAAUGAGAUGGGAAGCCACUGGAGUAUUUUAGGCAGAGGAAUGCAGUGACGUUACUUACAUUAAAAAAAAAAAUCACUCUGAACUUCUUCUAGGUGGAGAACAGACGCUGGGGACAGGGAGGGCAAGGGAUACGAGGAGUUAGGUUAUUUUCAUAGUCAGUUGAAGGCCGGGCGUGGUGGCUCGUGCCUGUAAUCUCAGCACUUUGGGAGGCUGAGGCGGGUGGAUCACAAGGUCAGGAGUUCAAGAUCAUCCUGGCCAACAGGGCGAAAGCCCAUCACUACUAAAAAUAAAAAAUUAGCCGGGCGUGGUGGCACGCACCUGUAAUCCCAGGUACUCAGGAGGCUGAGGCAGGAGAAUCGCUUGAACUCAGGAGGUGGAGGCUGCAGUGAGCCAAGAUUGCGCCCCUGCACUCCAGCCUGAGUGACAGAGCGAGACUCUGUAUCAGAAAAUAAACAGAUAAAAAUUAAAACAGCCCAGUUGAGGGGUGAUGUGACUUAGAUCUGGACAUUAUAGAUAAAUAAACUUGGUGAGAAGUAAUUGAAUUCUGGCUAGGUGGAAGUUUGAAUAAAGUGUGCUUGGAACUAAAAAUAUAUGAUUUCCUGAAACAUACAUAUAUAGGUUCGUUUAUACAUACAUCAGUGGAUGGGCUGAAUUUAAAAACUAGACAAUUCAUCACACUACUCAGAAUGGAAAAAAAAACCGGAGAUAAAAUUAUUAAUCUAGAAGGCAAAGUUAAGGAAACAUCCCGUUAUAGUACCCAAAGACAAAAAGAUUAAAAUUUAAAAAAACUUUAAAAGCCAUAAAGGAUAGAUGCAGGGGAUUAAAAAUAUAUCCAAUAGGAAUUUUCAGCAAGGAAGAACAGGGAAAAGAGGAGAAGAAAUAAGGAAGUAACAGAAAGAAAACUCUUGGAGAUUAAAAAACAGAACAGGAAUCUUCCAACUGGAAUUUCAAACACUAAGCCAGGCUAAGGAAAACAACAAAAAGCUUCUUGGACAGAGAACUCUAGAGAGAAAGCAAGGUCUCUUAUAAAGGAAUGAGAACAGACUAGCAUCAAACUUCUAACUGGAAACCCUAGGUAUUAUACAUUAAAAAAAAUUCAAAGUUCUGAGGGAAAAAAAUAUUUUGAUUCUAGAAUAUCUUCAUUCAGUCAAAAUAAUCAAAUGUGAAGGCAAAACAAAACACUUUCAGACAUGAAAAUUAUCAUCUUGGGCACAUGGAUGAAAAUAUCGCUCUACAGUGCUUGUUAGGAACAAUGAAAGGUCUGAGAGUUUACCCUGCUUGCAGCUCAGUUAGUCUACCAAUUUCAGAGAUGCUGGCAGAAGAAAUGAGACUCCCAGUCAGAGACAAACAACUUCAUUAUUCACCGCACAGCAGGCAGCAUGAGCUUCCUGUUUGCAUUGGUACCUUUGUGCCUCCAUAGGGGAGACGCAGGGCUGCCCGGGCUGGUGCUGUGUUUACAGUGGGUCUGCAUUCACAGCCAAGGAUCCCUGAGUUUAGGAAACCCCCAAUCUUAAGAAGUCUGCCAGUAAACCCAGCCAACUUUUCCUAUGGAGGAAGAAGCUAUCUUUAUUAUCCUGGUCAGGAAUCAAACUUGCUCUCUGCCUCAGAGGAAGACACUAAUCUUGCUGUACAAAUGUCCUUGAAAAGAGAGUCUUGGAUAACACAUGGAGAAUUGCCUCCCACCCCUGCAACAAUAUUCUAGCGAGAUAAAGGAAGAAUCCAAGAAAGAGGACAAUACAGGAUACACUUAUGUAAAAAUUAGUUACAGUUGAAUAUGACCAGGAGAAAUGUAUAACAUUAGAAAGAAAAUAAAAUGGAAUUGCUGUGAGAUGGUUGGAAGACACUCCCUUGACCAGCAGAGUUUAAGUUGCAUAGCAUUACGUUUACAUUUCAUUCUAUCUGGCUUAUGG